rnacentral:rRNA from 1 species
AUACGGAGGAUCCGAGCGUUAUCCGGAUUUAUUGGGUUUAAAGGGAGCGUAGGUGGAUUGUUAAGUCAGUUGUGAAAGUUUGCGGCUCAACCGUAAAAUUGCAGUUGAAACUGGCAGUCUUGAGUACAGUAGAGGUGGGCGGAAUUCGUGGUGUAGCGGUGAAAUGCUUAGAUAUCACGAAGAACUACGAUUGCGAAGGCAGCUCACUAGACUGUUACUGACACUGAUGCUCGAAAGUGUGGGUAUCAAACAGGAUUAGAUACCCUGGUAGUCCACACAGUAAACGAUGAAUACUCGCUGUUUGCGAUAUACAGUAAGCGGCCAAGCGAAAGCAUUAAGUAUUCCACCUGGGGAGUACGCCGGCAACGGUGAAACUCAAAUGAAUUGGCGGGG